rnacentral:rRNA from 1 species
CCUACGGGAGGCAGCAGUGGGGGAUAUUGCACAAUGGGGGGAACCCUGAUGCAGCGACGCCGCUUGGGUUAAGGCUUCCUUCUUCCUGUACAGCCCUAUCGGCAGGGAAGAAGCAAGACGGUACCUGACUAAGAAGCCCCGGCGAACUACGUGCCAGCAGCCGCGGUAAUACGUAGGGGGCGAGCGUUAGCCGGAUUCACUGGGUGUAAAGGGAGCGGAGGCGGCCAGGCAAGCCAGGGGGGAAAGCGCGGGGCCCAACCCCGGGACUGCCCUUGAAACUGUGCGGCUAGAGUGCGGGAGGGGCAGGCGGAAUUCCAGGUGUAGCGGUGAAAUGCGUAGAUAUCAGGAGGAACACCGGCGGCGAAGGCGGCCUGCUGGACUGCGACUGACGUUGAGGCUCGAAAGCGUGGGGAGCGAACAGGAUUAGAUACCCUUGUAGUC